rfam:Rattus norvegicus chromosome 14, whole genome shotgun sequence.
GGGGAUUUAGCUCAGUGGAAGAGCGCUUGCCUAGCAAGCGCAAGGCCCUGGGUUCAGUCCCCA